rnacentral:rRNA from 1 species
UACGUAGGGGGCAAGCGUUGUCCGGAAUCAUUGGGCGUAAAGAGCGCGUAGGCGGCCCGAUAAGUCCGCUGUGAAAGUCAAGGGCUCAACCCUUGAAUGCCGGUGGAUACUGUCGGGCUAGAGUCCGGAAGAGGAGAGUGGAAUUCCCGGUGUAGCGGUGAAAUGCGCAGAUAUCGGGAAGAACACCCGUGGCGAAGGCGGCUCUCUGGGACGGUACUGACGCUGAGACGCGAAAGCGUGGGGAGCGAACAGG